GACGAACGCUGGCGGCGUGCCUAAUACAUGCAAGUAGAACGCUGAAGGAGGAGCUUGCUUCUCUGGAUGAGUUGCGAACGGGUGAGUAACGCGUAGGUAACCUGCCUGGUAGCGGGGGAUAACUAUUGGAAACGAUAGCUAAUACCGCAUAAUAGUAGAUGUUGCAUGACAUUUGCUUAAAAGGUGCAAUUGCAUCACUACCAGAUGGACCUGCGUUGUAUUAGCUAGUUGGUGAGGUAACGGCUCACCAAGGCGACGAUGCAUAGCCGACCUGAGAGGGGGAUCGGCCACACUGGGACUGAGACACGGCCCAGACUCCUACGGAAGGCAGCAGUAGGGAAUCUUCGGCAAUGGACGGAAGUCUGACCGAGCAACGCCGCGUGAGUGAAGAAGGUUUUCGGAUCGUAAAGCUCUGUUGUAAGAGAAGAACGAGUGUGAGAGUGGAAAGUUCACACUGUGACGGUAUCUUACCAGAAAGGGACGGCUAACUACGUG
rnacentral:rRNA from 1 species